rnacentral:sRNA from 1 species
GCCAGGCAUAGUGGCACAUGCCUGUAAUCCCAGCCAUUCAGGAGGCUGAGGCAGGAGGAUCCUCAUUUUUAAAGCCAGCCUCUGCAAAAGCAAGGUUCUAAGCAACUCAGUGAGACCCUGUCUCUA